rnacentral:rRNA from 1 species
UACGGGGGGGGGCAAGCGUUGUUCGGAAUUACUGGGCGUAAAGGGCUCGUAGGCGGCCAACUAAGUCAGACGUGAAAUCCCCAGGCUCAACUUGGGAACUGCAUCCGAUACUGGAUGGCUUGAAUUCGGGAGAGGGAUGCAGAAUUCCAGGUGUAGCGGUGAAAUGCGUAGAGAUGUGGAGGAACACCGAUGGCGAAGGCAGCCCCCUGGGCUAACACUGACGCUCAUGCACGAAAGCGUGGGGAGCAAACAGG